rnacentral:lncRNA from 12 species
GGGGCUAAUACUCUGCUGACCCCCAGCUCUGUGCCCACCCCCAGGCCCCCCGGUCUCCCGCAGGCUGACGCCGAGGGCUCUGGCCGCGGGACUGGGGAGACCACCCCGACCGGCAAGGGCGUCUGCGCCACUGGGCACCGUGUUGUGUUUUCCGAUUUAAGGAAAGCUGUUUUGUAACAAUACUCAGGGAAAACUUCGGGCAGAUCUUAUCUGAGGUGCCAGGGAAACCCCAGCGGAGGAAGUUUCGAUGAGUCUUUCUAGAACCUUCCACCCACGUAAACAAUAUUUAAUGGUAAUGAGCCUUUCGUGCCUGAUCCUGCGAUUGCCAACAGGGCUGCCACUGGAUCGUGUCCAGCUGUGACAUCUCCGCGUCUCUCGUGUUACUCAGAGCAGAUUCAUUCAGGAAGGACCCGGGCAGCUGCGUCUCCACUCGCCAGCAGAUUCCAGUUCUAAGGGAAAAGUCGGUUUCAGUUCCGUUAAUGUUCUCGUGGUGCAAGCAGCCUGAAGGGGAGAUAGAGGCCCGGCUUCCCAGGGGGAAAGCAGCUCGGGCAGCUCCGGGCAGCUCCGGGCGCUGGGGUGGCGGCGCCAGCAGGUGGGCCGGGCCGAGGGCCGGCUGGGCGGCCCGGGAGGGGGAAGACUCGAACCCCUUGCAGCACCUGCAGAACGGCUUCGAGGGGAUUCGUGAACCAGACGGAAAUCGACCCCGUGUGUUGGUCCGCGGGGUCCCCACCGUCCGGGAAGCCCCUGUGAAGGACCUCGAGCCACAACAAAUAACGCUGGACUUUCCACGAAAUCUUGAAGCUUUGAAGGAAAACGCAGGGCAACAUAAACGUGUAGAGUCUUUUUAUUCCACAAAUCCAAGAGGAACCGAGAGAGCAGGAACAGGGAGUGUCCCAAGAACCAGUGAGGAGGACGCAGGACCCCUGACACUUGCCACCCUGUCCUGCUAGCCAUGCUGACCUUGACAUUCCCCCUUCUGGCUCUCCCCCUUCUCUGGACCAUCCUCCCGGCCACCUCCCUGAGUGUUCAGAGUGGAAGUAAGUCUCAGGAUCCCACCCUGUCUGCUGGGGGGCCCAGCAAGGGGGCGGGGGAGGCCGAGGCAGGGGUGAGAGGAGCAGAUCCACGCCCAGGUGGGGCCCAGGCCCCAGGGAGUGACCAUGAUCCCGAGGUAAGGGGCUGGCCCAGGUGAGGGGAUGAGCAAAGUCCCCCCACGAUGGCAGACAGCGGGUCCCCAGUGCAGCACCCAGUGAUGGCUGGCAGACACUUACGGGGUUGGUUAAGAACACGUCCAGGUUCUAAGGGAAAGAGGGGUCCCGGCCCGUCAGCGACAACGCACAGGCCAGGGGAGGGGCAGGAGGCCAAGUCUGAGCAUCCUCUCUGCUCUGUUCCCGAUCCACCCUCGGACCACCAGCUCCUGCAUCACCGGGGAGCUUGUUAGAAAUGCAGACUCUCGGGCCAGGCUCGGCCCUGCAGGACCAGGGCACAGGGGGUCCCGCAGGACCUUCCAGCCGGUCCCCUGCACACAGCUCUGGGGCAAGGCAGCGCCGUGGAAUCACCCCAGGGGCUCCUCAAAGCUGUGGGGCCGGGCGUACCCCAGUGGAAUAGAAUCACGGAGGAGGGAGCUUCUGGAGCUACUGCGGCAGCUCUGGGGGGCCACGCUGGGUCAUUGGCACAGGGUUGGCAGGAAGCCAGGGAGCGCAGAGCCCCUCCUCCUGGGAGCCCAAGGCCAGCCAGGGGGUCCCUGGGCAAUGGGCAGGUGACGGCAGCCCGAUGGGGCCUCCGGUGCAUCACUGUCCACGGGGCUCUGCCCCUCACCCACUGGGCCGGGGAGCCAGUCCCAAGCAGUGGCCCUGCUGGGGUCCUUCCUUGCAGAGCCGGGGGGACCCUGGGGCCGCGGGGACCACGAGGGUGUGAGUUGGCACAGCGGCCACGUGGGGACGCACAACCUCC